UACGUAGGGUCCGAGCGUUGUCCGGAAUUAUUGGGCGUAAAGCGUGCGCAGGCGGUGAUGUAAGACAGGUGUGAAAUCCCCGGGCUUAACCUGGGAACUGCAUUUGUGACUGCAUCGCUGGAGUGCGGCAGAGGGGGAUGGAAUUCCGCGUGUAGCAGUGAAAUGCGUAGAUAUGCGGAGGAACACCGAUGGCGAAGGCAAUCCCCUGGGCCUGCACUGACGCUCAUGCACGAAAGCGUGGGGAGCAAACAGG
rnacentral:rRNA from 1 species